rnacentral:rRNA from 1 species
AGUCACUGACAUUAGAUACCCGCGUAGUCCAGGGUGUAAACGCUGCAGACUUGGUGUUGGAGCCCGUUUGGGGGCAUUCAGUGCCGGAGAGAAGUUGUUAAGUCUGCUACGUUGGGGAGUACGUCCGCAAGGAUAGAAACGUUAAAGGAAUUGGCGGGGGAGCACCGCAACGGGAGGAGCGUGCGGUUUAAUUGGAUUCAACACCGUAAAACUCACCAGGGAAGACUGUUACAUGAAGGCCGAGCUAAAGACUCUGCUAGAUUUUCAG